rnacentral:rRNA from 1 species
UACAGAGGUGGCAAGCGUUGUUCGGAAUUACUGGGCGUAAAGGGCGCGCAGGCGGCCUUCUAAGUCAGACGUGAAAUCCCCCGGCUUAACCUGGGAACUGCGUCUGAUACUGGGAGGCUUGAGUAUGGGAGAGGGAUGUAGAAUUCCAGGUGUAGCGGUGAAAUGCGUAGAUAUCUGCAGGAAUACCGGUGGCGAAGGCGGCAUCCUGGACCAGAACUGACGCUGAGGCGCGAAAGCGUGGGGAGCAAACAGG